rnacentral:tRNA from 1 species
GCCUUGAAAGCUCAUAGACCAGAGCGUUUGGUCUUGUAAACCAGAAGAGAGGGUUAAAUUCCCUCUCAAGGCU